rnacentral:rRNA from 1 species
UACGAAGGGUGCAAGCGUUAAUCGGAAUUACUGGGCGUAAAGGGUGCGUAGGCGGUUGUUUAAGUCUGUCGUGAAAUCCCCGGGCUCAACCUGGGAAUGGCGACGGAUACUGGACAGCUAGAGUGUGUCAGAGGAUGGUGGAAUUCCCGGUGUAGCGGUGAAAUGCGUAGAGAUCGGGAGGAACAUCAGUGGCGAAGGCGGCCAUCUGGGACAACACUGACGCUGAAGCACGAAAGCGUGGGGAGCAAACAGG